rnacentral:tRNA from 1 species
UGUGGAGUCGCCAAGUGGUAAGGCAUCGGAUUUUGAUUCCGACAUUCGUAGGUUCGAUCCCUACCUCCCCAGCCA